GAUGAACGCUGGCGGCGUGCUUAACACAUGCAAGUCGAACGAUGAAGCCCAGCUUUCUGUGUGGAUUAGUGGCGAACGGGUGAGUAACACGCGAGUAACCUGCCCUUGACUCUGGGAUAAGCCUGUGAAACUGGGUCUAAUACUGGAUAUGACUUCUCAUCGCAUGGUGGGGGGUGGAAAGAUUUAUUGUUCUUGGAUGGACUCGCGGGCUAUCAGCAUGUUGGUGAGGUAAUGGCUCACCAAGGCAACGACGGGGAGCCGGCCUGAGAGGGGGAUCGGCCACACAGGAACGGGACAACGGUACAGACUCCAAGGGGAGGAAGCAGCAGGGAAUGGUCCGGAAGGGGGGAAAGCCUGACGGGGCAACGCGGCGUGAGUGAGGAAGGUCUUCGGAUCGGAAAACUCUGUUAUUAGGGAAGAACAAAUGUGGAAGUAACUAUGCACGUCUUGACGGUACCUAAUCAGAAAGCCACGGCUAACUACGUG
rnacentral:rRNA from 1 species